ACCUGGGUGGCUCAGUCGGUUGAGCAUCUGACUUUGGCUCAGGUCAUGAUCUUGCAAUCUGUGAGUUCGAGCCCCACAUCGGGCU
rnacentral:tRNA from 1 species